AGGACGAACGCUGGCGGCGUGCUUAACACAUGCAAGUCGAGCGAGCCCCACCUUUCGGGGUGGUGUGCUAGCGGCGAACGGGUGAGUAACACGUGGGCAACCUGCCCUCAGCUCUGGGAUAACUCCAAGAAAUUGGGGCUAAUACCGGAUAUGACUGCUGACCGCAUGGUCUGGUGGUGGAAAGAUUUAUCGGCUGGGGGAUGGGGCCCGCGGCCUAUCAGCUUGGUUGGUGGGGUAGUGGCCUACCAAGGCGACGACGGGUAGCCGGCCUGAGAGGGUGACCGGCCACACUGGGACUGAGACACGGCCCAGACUCCUACGGGAGCAGCAGUGGGAAUAUGCGCAAUGGGCGAAGCCUGACGCAGCGACGCCGCGUGGGACGACGGGCCUUCGGGUGUAAACCGUCUUUCGAGCAGGACGAAGCGAGAGUCGACGUACCUGCAGAAGAAGCGAACCGCAACGUACGUGCCAGCAGCCGC
rnacentral:rRNA from 1 species